rnacentral:rRNA from 1 species
GACGAACGCUGGCGGCGUGCUUAACACAUGCAAGUCGAACGGAAAGGCCUGCUUUCCCUUGUGGAUUGCGGGUACUCGAGUGGCGAACGGGUGAGUAACACGUGAGUGAUCUGCCCCCAACUUGGGUAUAAGCCUGGGAAACUGGGUCUAAUUCCCGAUAGGACUGCAGGGUGGUGCCUGUGGUGGAAAACGAUUUUCUAGUGGUUGGGGAUGAGCUCGCGGCCUAUCAGCUUGUUGGUGGGGUAAUGGCCUACCAAGGCGGCGACGGGUAGCCGGCCGGGGAGGGUGGACGGCCACAUUGGGACUGGGAUACGGCCCAGACGCCGACGGGAGGCAGCAGUGGGGAGUAAUGGACAAUGGGCGGAAGCCUGAUGCAGCGACGCGGCGUGGAGGAUGACGGACUUCGGGUGGUAAACUCCUUUCGACCGCGAGGAAGCCACCUGGUUGGAAGGGUGGUGACGGUAGUGGUAGAAGAAGCACCGGCUAACUACGUG